CAGUGAUGCCAGUUAAGUCCAAACUGAGGGUAGAGCUAGACUCUGGAUCCUGAACUUCGCCUUUGUCUAGAGUCUUCAUCCAAUGAUUGAUGGAAGCACAGGCAGACACCCACAGCUAAACACUGAACUGAGCUCCUGGAAACGAAUUGCAGAGAGGGAUGAGUGAUGAGCAAUGGAAUCAUGACCGAGCUGGGGAAACCCACAGAAACAGCUGACCUGAACAAGGGGGAGCUCAUGGACCCCAGACUGGUGGCUGAGAGGCUAACAUGGAACUAAUCCAGACCCCUUGAAUGUCAGUGAGGAGGCCUCAACAAUCUAUGGGGCCUCGGGUAGUAGACCAGUAUUUAUCCCUGGCACACAAAUGGACUUUGGGAGCCCAUUCCACAUGAAAAGAUGCUCUCUCAGUCUGGACACAUGGGGAGGGUCUAGGCCCUGCCUAGGAUGAUAUGAAAGACAUUGGAGAUCCUCCAUGGAGAGACUCACCCUCCCUGGGGAGCAGAGGGGGGAUGAGGG
rnacentral:lncRNA from 1 species